GAGGGGUUGUGCCUGAAAGGGAACCGGAACACAGGUGCUGCAUGGCUGUCGUCAGCUCGUGUCGUGAGAUGUUGGGUUAAGUCCCGCAACGAGCGCAACCCUUGUCCCUAGUUGCUACGCAAGGGCACUCUAGGGAGACUGCCGGUGACAAACCGGAGGAAGGUGGGGAUGACGUCAAGUCCUCAUGGCCCUUAUGGGUAGGGCUUCACACGUCAUACAAUGGCCGGUACAGAGGGUUGCCAAACCGCGAGGUGGAGCCAAUCCCAGAAAGCCGGUCGUAGUCCGGAUUGCAGUCUGCAACUCGACUGCAUGAAGUCGGAAUCGCUAGUAAUCGCGGAUCAGCAUGUCGCGGUGAAUACGUUCCCGGGUCCUGUACACACCGCCCGUCACACCAUGGGAGUGGGUUCUACCAGAAGUAGGUAGGCUAACCGCAAGGAGGCCGCUUACCACGGUAGGAUUCAUGACUGGGGUGAAGUCGUAACAAGGUAACCGUAA
rnacentral:rRNA from 1 species